rnacentral:rRNA from 1 species
CACGUAGGGCGCGAGCGUUGUCCGGAAUUAUUGGGCGUAAAGAGCUCGUAGGCGGCCUGUUGCGUCCGCUGUGAAAGCCCGGGGCUCAACCCGGGAAGUGCACUCGAUACUGCGGAGCUAGAGUGUCGGAGAGGUUGGUGGAAUUCUCGGUGUAGAGGUGAAAUUCGUAGAUAUCGAGAGGAACACCGGUGGCGAAGGCGGCCAACUGGACGAACACUGACGCUGAGACACGAAAGCGUGGGGAGCAAACAGG